UACGUAGGGGGCUAGCGUUGCUCGGAAUCACUGGGCGUAAAGCGCACGUAGGCGGAUUGUUAAGUCAGGGGUGAAAUCCUGGAGCUCAACUCCAGAACUGCCUUUGAUACUGAGGAUCUUGAGUUCGGGAGAGGUGAGUGGAACUGCGAGUGUAGAGGUGAAAUUCGUAGAUAUUCGCAAGAACACCAGUGGCGAAGGCGGCUCACUGGUCCGGUACUGACGCUGAGGUGCGAAAGCGUGGGGAGCAAACAGGG
rnacentral:rRNA from 1 species